rnacentral:sRNA from 1 species
AGCGAUACCAGAGAGCCUACAAACGGUC